AAGUCGUAACAAGGUUUCCGUAGGUGAACCUGCGGAAGGAUCAUUAUUGAAUACAGCUCGAUGGGUUGUAGCUGGCUCCUUGGAGCAUGUGCACACUUGUCUUGAUACUAUUCAUCCACCUGUGCAUCAUUGGUAGUCUCUGAGGGCUGGGAUUGGCAGUUGACCCAUCAGUCAAAAGACUGGACAAGAGGAUUGCGAGCAUGAAAGUGCAGCUCUCUUCAGCAACAGACCGUGAUCUCCCUUUGAUUCUAUGUUUCAUAAACCAUGUUGUAUGUUGAAGAAUGUGAUUAUUAGGCCUUUGUGUCUAUAGAACCUUAUACAACUUUCAGCAACGGAUCUCUUGGCUCUC
rnacentral:misc_RNA from 1 species